AAAAUAGUUAAAGUUAAAAAUCAAAAAUGUUUUUUCUCCUUAUAUCUAUUUAUUUAAAAAACUUGAAAACUUUAGGUUUUCUCGUUUCACAUCUUUAUUUAGAAUCUUAGAGAUAACGAAAAACCUGUGACGAUGGAGAAAACCUUCAGUAUUCGUCGCGUUUUUAACUAAACGUGAGUCCGACCAAAAAAAUGUUAAAUAAUACUCAAAUUAAUAGUGAUUCAAAUAGUAAUAAUAGAAAAAAUAAAAAUACUAAGCGUACUCCUUUAAACGUUGAUAAUUCGAAUGAUAAAUUUUCUAAAAAGUUUAGGUUGAGUUUUCGGGGUAGUAAAAAGGAGAAAAAAGAUGGUAAAGAUAUUAUUGUUAAAAAUAAUACUAGUAAUAAAAGUGUACAAUGUGAUAUUCGUCGAAGUAGUAAUAGCGAAAAUAAAGUAACAAGAGACAAUAAAAUCAUAAAUGUCGAGAAGAAAGAUAAAGUGAAAAGUGAGCAACUUUCGGACGAUGAAAAAGUGAAAACCAACGAUGACAACAACGUUAGCAUCAUAAUAGUGCGAGAUAUACUCGAAAAUUUAGUUGAAGACAUGUGGAAAAGUGACAAAAAAAUAGAUGUUAAACUAAGAAGCAAUAAAAAUUUGGAUAAAACAAAAAUAAUUAAUCAUCGAAGAACGUCGAUAACGGAUUUACCUGAAUCGGCUAUAAAAGAAACAACCACUAAAAUAGAAGAGCUACAAGAUUACAAGCCGGAUAUGGGUCGAAGGGAUUCUUUGUAUUCCGUCGAAGAAUACGACGAAAAUUUAGACGAAAAUGAAAAUAAACUACGAAUCGAAGCCAUCAAUCCUUUAGUAAAAUCACCAAAACAAUUAAAAAAGAAAAAUUCCUUUUUUAAUUCGUUAUUCAGAAAAAAACCGGACGCACAAAAAAAAGAUAACAACCAAAAUCAACAUGGCUUAAGACGAUACUCAUCGUCUUUAGAAUUAUCCACAUCGAAUCAACUUCGCGAUAAAACUUUAGAUCGAUCUAUAAAACGAAAAUUAUCGAAAAUUAUUAAAGAAGAUACUCCAGCGUUGAUUAAACGAUCAUUUAGCGUUAGAGAUGUUAACAAUAAACGCAAAGAAACUAAUUUGAAUGAAAUGCAAUGGAAACAAUCAUUACAAAGUCUCGUCGAAAAUGAUAAUACCGUUAGUUAUGAUGAUAUGAGCUUUAUUAAUUACGAUACUUUAAAUGCUGUUAAUUAUGAUGAUGAGAAUAGAUUUGCAAUACGUAAUUUACAUCGGACACAAAGCUUAAUCGUGCAUGGUUCACCAGCGAAUUAUCGACCUUCUUCUAUAAGAGGAGCAUCCGUUCCGAGACACUACUUAUCAAAUACAGAUAUCACCGAGCAAAACGAAGCUCAAUCUCUUCCUUCAUUAAACAAGACCAUUGAGGAAAAUGAGGAAGAAAUCAACUUGCAAGUUCCCCAAUCGUUACCUAGAUUUAAUCGUCGUCCACAAAGUCUGGUUCUCUAUCCGGAAGACGGAAAGCUUCGGACUCAAACGACCGGAAGUUUUCGAUCGGCGAGCAACGGCUGUGCCAAAUUGAAAAGGACAAACGCUUGCAGGCAAAAGUCCAGGAAUUCAGUCAGCUCAAUAGACGAGGAAAUUCGAUACGCCAAUGGAAACUCGGUUCGUUCAAGAAGUUUAAAUCACUUAGACACGUUAGAAAUGAGGUAUGGUGCACCGACAUCCCCCGAUACAACGGCAUUAAAAGAUUCAAGAUCCGAACCGGAUUGUACAAAACCUUUAUUGAUUCCACCUGAAACGAAUGUAGAAGCUCCAACAUCACCAAAUGAAAUCCAAACGUCCAAACGUCACGUUCUUAGCAGAUCACAAAAAUCGAGCAGUGAAUGUUUUAGUGUUAAUUUCGAGGUUGGAGAUGAAUCUACGUGGGAUAACGAAUUAUUCUUUCCGGCAACACGUGGAACCACUUUACAUGAUUCAUUAACAAAACUUUGCGAAAUACGAAAUAUAGAUUUAUCAAAUUGCGAUGUAUGGCUUCAAGACAAAGAAAAUAACACAAAUACGUUAUUACAUUUCUCGCAAGAUACAGCAAGUCUCGUUGGACGUCACAUUAGGAUUACCGCAAAAGAGACGGGAACGAAGGCCCCAGUAAGGAAAUAUUCAGGGAGUACGCGACAGAAAUCGGGUAGUUUUUUUGGUUCAAGUACCGAAGACAAUACGUGGACUUCACACGAAUCCAGACUUUCGUUUCAAGAUACGGACGGAAAUAAAAAACAAGGAAAACAACGAUGGUCGGGACUCUUUGGUUACAGCAAGGAUACGAAAAUGGAAGCUUUAGUUGAACAUCUAAAUAGUUAUACAAAGCACGGAGUUCCUACAUCACAGAUUUACCCCCAAGGACAGUGUGAAUCCCUCGAUGCUCUCUACAAACUGGAAUUAGACUGGAGGGAGCUUAUAGACUAUAAAGAAUUAACCGAGAGACAACAACAACAGCAAACAGCACUUUGGGAAUUGAUUAAAACCGAAGUGGCCUACAUCAAAACAUUAAAAGUAGUCACUGAGUUGUUUCUCGCCUGUUUGAAGAAUUUACAAUUAACCAACCUCCUAAAGGAAAUUGAUACAGAAAAGUUAUUUUCAAACAUCACCGAAAUUUUGGAUACCAACGUUCAAUUUUGGAGGAAUAGUUUAUUUCCGAUGGUUAAAACGAUGAGGCAAUACAAACAACCACCUUGUAUAGAAAUGAUGGCGCAAGGAUUUUUGGGAAUGAAAGAUUCUUUUCAGGCCUAUUAUCAAUAUUGUGCGGAACAAGCGCGGUGUCAACAUUAUUGCAGGGAAAAUCAUGCUCAUAAUGAGUUGUUUACGGCUUAUUUAGCUUGGUGUGAAACACAAAAGGAAUGCAAUAGGUUGAGAUUAAUGGACAUUCUCGUUCAACCGAUGCAAAGACUUACUAAAUACGGUUUACUGUUAAAAGCCAUCCUGAAAAACACCGACGAAGAAGUUGAAAAGGAUACUUUAUACCUUAUGAUCAGAUCUGUUGAUGAUUUCGUAAAUAAAGUUAAUUCAAGUUUAAAGCAAAAACAAGACAACGAAAGACUUCGAGGACUUAUUGUUAGAAUAGAAAGUUAUGAAAUUGUUGAAUCAAAAGAUGACGAUUUAGAACGUAUUUUAAAAAAAAGUUAUGUCCCAUUAGAUUUAACACGCCCAAUGUUGAAUUGUCCUGUGGAUAGAAGAAGACAUCUUUUAUUAGAGGGAGAUUUAAAAUUAAAAGAUAGCAACACUUCAAAAAUGGAAGUUCAUUGCUUCCUUUUGACAGAUAUGCUCUUAGUUUGCAAACCUUCAACUAAACGGGGAGGAUCCAUGAUGCGGGUCAUCAGGCAACCUUAUCUUGUCGAUAGACUUGUAGUUCAUGAAUUGAACAAAGAAACCCCGUCUUUGGCUCUAAUUUAUAAAAACGAAUUUGAUAUGGCCAUUGCUGGAUUUAUUUUGCAGAAUAAUGACGCUAGAAAACUUAAGAGUUGGAAAGACGGCAUUGCAAAAGCACAAAGUCUUUAUUCUCAAGCGAAACAAGUCUCUCAUUACGAUGACAUCGAUCCAGAAUAUUCUUUCACCGAAUCACUUGAAAGUGAUUUUCACAAUUUCCAAUUAGCGCCAAAAUCACCUUUGGCAUCGUCUUCAAGGGCUAGUCGAGUUUCCAGUUUAGCACACAGCCACAGUGGAUCUGUUGAAAUGAAUGAUCAAUCCUCUAUCGGUUCAGGGAAAGAUCCUUCUCGGGCCGUGUCCGUUGAAAAUGAAAAUCGAACGGCUUCGAUAUCAAGCGAUGAAGGCGUACAACCUUUGCCACCCGAUCGAAGCCCUGUUUCUCAAAAGAACUCCUUCAAACAACGUCUUUUUAAUAAAACCCCCAACACACUUUCGGUGCAACCAUACACAAACCUUGGUCAAAGUUUGCCCAAUUUAACACUCGGUUCACCGAAUGUUGGUACAUUGAGUUUGAAUUUUAAUCAAAAUACUUUGAGCGUUCCGAAUGCGAAGAAUCCCGCCGGUGGAAGUAGUACUCAUUUGUUAAGUCCAACUCAUCGGGGAAUUUCUUAUCCACCUCCAUCACCGACGAGAGGAAAUUUAAGACGCGGUUUGGCGAUUUCGCAAAGUAAGAAUCCACCGUUGCAGAAAACGAGACAUGUUAGUUCUCAGGCUAGUACUACUUCGUGUGGACAAGUACCUAGUAGUUUUGAUUUUGAUGUACCAGUUAUUGCAGAAGAAAACUGAUCGCAGAAUGAUGAUUUUGUGAGGGGGCUUUAAAAGAAAAUGUGAAAAAGUUUUGUGUAAAGAUUUUAACAAGCGCUACAAUCCAUUGUAUCCUUAGGAAUUUCUGACCACUGCGAAAGUUUUAGCAGAGGCCAAUUACGACAAGCAAUGGUAAAACGCGGCCAUAGAACCGAAAAUAAACGAUACCACACCGCCGGCACGGUAGAUGAUAUCAAG
rnacentral:misc_RNA from 1 species